UUCUGGGACGAUUGACCGCUUGAGAUCUUUUUCUUGAUUCGGUGGAGAUGGUGCAUGUCCGUUCCUAGUUGGUGGAGUGAUUUCUCUGGUCAAUUCCGAUAACGAACGAGACUCUAGCCUAUGAAAUAGGCGCGUGGUUCUCUGCACCUUGCACCCUUCUUAGAGGGACAGGCGGUCCCUAGCCGCACGAAACAGAGCAAUAACAGGUCUGUGAUGCCCUUCGAU
rnacentral:ncRNA from 2 species